GUAUUUAUAGCUUAAUUAAGAGUAAAGCUUUGAAGAAGCUUAGGUGAAAUAAUUUCUAAAGACA
rnacentral:tRNA from 1 species